GAUGAACGCUGGCGGCGUGCCUAAUACAUGCAAGUCGAGCGAACAGACGAGGAGCUUGCUCCUUCGACGUUAGCGGCGGACGGGUGAGUAACACGUAGGUAACCUACCUAUAAGACUGGGAUAACUUCGGGAAACCGGCGCUAAUACCGGAUAAUAUUUCGAACCGCAUGGUUCGAUAGUGAAAGAUGGCUUUGCUAUCACUUAUAGAUGGACCUGCGCCGUAUGAGCUAGUUGGUAAGGUAACGGCUUACCAAGGCAACGAUACGUAGCCGACCUGAGAGGGUGAUCGGCGACACUGGAACUGAGACACGGUCCAGACUCCUACGGGAGGCAGCAGUAGGGAAUCUUCCGCAAUGGGCGGAAGCCUGACGGAGCAACGCCGCGUGAGUGAUGAAGGUCUUCGGAUCGUAAAACUCUGUUAUUAGGGAAGAACAAACGUGUAAGUAACUGUGCACGUCUUGACGGUACCUAAUCAGAAAGCCACGGCUAACUACGUG
rnacentral:rRNA from 1 species